rnacentral:rRNA from 1 species
AUGAUGGAGACUAUGAUUCCCCCACAAGUCGGGGUGAGACUCCGGACGAAAAAUAAAAAAGGCCAAAAAAAGAGAAAAGGCCCAAAUAAAAAAACACAAAAACAAAAAAAUGAGAGAAAAAGAGAGAAGGGGCAGUGCUACUAUCCUUUUACCACACUUGUGCGUCAAAGUAGCACUAUGAUCUUCAUGAUAGAGAGUCUUCUAUGUUGUCACUUUCAUAUACUAGUGGGAACCUUUCAUUAUAGAACUUGGCUUGUAUAUUCCAAUGAUGGGCUUCCUCAAAAUGCCCUAGGUCUUCGUGAGCAAGCGAGAUGGAUGCACACCCACUUAGUUUCCUUUUGA